GAUGAACGCUGGCGGCGUGCCUAUACAUGCAAGUCGAGCGAAUGGAUUAAGAGCUUGCUCUUAUGAAGUUAGCGGCGGCCGGGUGAGUAACACGUGGGUAACAUGCCCAUAAGACUGGGAGAACUCCGGGAAACCGGGGCUAAUACCGGAUACCAUUUUGAACCGCAUGGUUCGAAAUGGAAAGGCGGCUUCGGAUGUCACUUAUGGAUGGACCUGCGUCGCACUAGCUAGUUGGUGAGGUAACGGCUCACCAAGGCAGCGAUGCGUAGCCGACCUGAGAGGGUGAUCGGCCACACUGGGACUGAGACACGGCCCAGACUCCUACGGGAGGCAGCAGUAGGGAAUCUUCCGCAACGGACGAAAGUCUGACGGAGCAACGCCGGGUGAGUGAUGAAGGCUUUCGGGUCGUAAAACUCUGUUGUUAGGGAAGAACAAGUGCUAGUUGAAUAAGCUGGCACCUUGACGGUACCUAACCAGAAAGCCACGGCUAACUACGUGCCAGCCGCCGCGGUAA
rnacentral:rRNA from 1 species